rnacentral:lncRNA from 1 species
UCCGGCUACUAUACUUUUAUGAGUAUUGGCUCUCUUAUACUCAUAAGUUUUUAGCCUUUAGAUUUAUUCCAUUGAUCAUUUCCACCCGUUAGAUCAUACUAUUAAACCAACUACCCACUCAACCCUAUGGGACCACUAUCAUUCUAAGUGGGGACCACCUGUUGGCUUAAAUGGGCCAGCAUCCUGCCCUGUGGCGGGAGGCCAUGUGGGCCGAGUUAUGUUCGAAAUGGCGUGAGGCUGGGUUGGGCCGAGUCAUGUUCGAAGUGGCGUGAGGCCAGGUGGGCCGAGUCACAAUCGAGACACGUGGGCGCUGUUUCUGUACGCUUUAAGUGAAUUGGUUGCGUAUUUCUAACAGCUCGAGCUUUUGGGAUUAAUGGUUAGUGCCAACGAUCCGACAAGUGGUAUCAGAGCCAGAGGUCACGGGUUCGAUUCUUGCAUGCUGCAAAUGUGUGCAGGUACUGGAGGGGAGAUUGUUGGCUUAAAUGGGCCAGCAUCCUGCCCUGUGGCGGGAGGCCAUGUGGGCCGAGUUAUGUUCAAAAUAGCGUGAGGCUGGGUUGGGCCGAGUCAUGUUCGAAGUGGCGUGAGGCCAGGUGGGCCGAGUCACAAUCGAGACACGUGGGCGCUGUUUCUAUACGCUUUAAGUGAAUUGGUUGCGUAUUUCUAACAGCUCGAGCUUUUGGGAUUAAUGGUUAGCGCCAACGAUCCGACACCACCAUCAUCUUAAUCAUACAUCCCAUCAAUCAACGGUUAAAAAUUUAUGAGUAUAAGGAGGUCUAUACUCAUAAGAGUAUAGUAGCCCCAGCCUAUAUAUAUAUAUAUAUAUAUGGGGGAUAAUUGUCUAUAUACCCUUCAAAACUUCGAAAAUAUCUCAUUUACUCCUACUUUUUUUUUUAUUUCCAAUAUACCCCUCAUAUGUUCCUCCGUUAUUCCAAAAUACCAUUGUAGUUACCACUCGUUAAGUUAACUUGGAUUAAACGUGAGUUAAAUAUCUACUACAGUUAAAAAAAAUUAAAAUACCACUUUUGCCCUUAAUUUAAAGGCAAAUAAGAAAUGUUGGUGAUGAUAGAAGAGUAUAUUUAAAAAGACCAAAAAGCAAAAUACUUUUUGUGCCGCUAACUUAAGGGCAAAAACGAAAAGUCGGUGAUGGUAGAAGGAUAUAUAUGAAAGGGCAAAAUAGUAAUUUCAUAGAGAUAACAGAUUUCAUUAACAGAUUUUAACUCUAAGGUAUAUUAGAAAUAGGUAGGAAUGUAAAAAAGACAUUUUCAAUAGUAGCCUUCUAAGAGGGGUAAAUUAGAAAGUCGGAAACUUUUCAGGAGUAUAUAAGCAAUUACCUCUCUCUCUCUCUCCCUCUCUCUCUCUCUCUCUAUAUAUAUAUAGUCCCGCUACUAUACUAUCGAUAGUACCAAGCCCUUGGUACUAUUGAGUUUUCUACCGUUAGAUCUACCGUUUGAUCAUUUUCACUCGUUAGAUUAUACUAUUAAACCAACCACCCACUCAACCCUAGGGAACCACUAUCAUCCUAACCGCACAUCCUUUCAUCCAACGGCCGAAACCUCAAUAGUACCAAGGGCUUGAUACUAUUGAUAGUAUAAUAGCAUAAUUCUAU